rnacentral:rRNA from 1 species
UAAUACUUAGGGUGCAAGCGUUAAUCGGAAUUACUGGGCGUAAAGCGAGUGUAGGCGGCUAUUUAAGUCGGAUGUGAAAGCCCUGGGCUCAACCUGGGAAUUGCAUUCGAAACUGGAUAGCUAGAGUUUGGUAGAGGUAAGUGGAAUUUCGGGUGUAGCGGUGAAAUGCGUAGAUAUCCGAAGGAACAUCAGUGGCGAAGGCGGCUUACUGGACCAAAACUGACGCUGAGGCUCGAAAGCGUGGGGAGCAAACAGGAUUAGAUACCCUGGUAGUCCACGCCCUAAACGAUGUCAACUAGACGUUGGGUUCAUUAAGGAACUUAGUGUCGAAGCUAACGCGUUAAGUUGACCGCCUGGGGAGUACGGCCGCAAGGUUG